AACCCGUCUCAUGUCGCCACACAUGAUACACCUAAUAGACACCUUUUGUUUUGUUCUCAAUGUGCCUUUCAGCUUAUGUCUAUUCAUGUACUUUAAUUCCACGAACUGAGUAUGUGAGGAAGAAGAAUCACUUGGAAGCCACUCCCAUAUCAUUAACUAAUAUGCUGUACAACACUACCUCCAUCCAGACUAAAGCCUACAAGAUCACACUAGCAUUGUCACCAGACUAAAGCCAACAUCGGCAUCCAUUCACAAACUGGCCACCAGAGCCUUGACGACAACACUCCCG
rnacentral:lncRNA from 1 species